AUUGCCUCUUAUUCUGAUGUAUGCGUGAGAGGAUGAAUAAUUUAGUUGGUAUUUUAAGGCAUGUAUUGCAUGCUGCUAUGGAGCAAUGUUUUUGUUUAUAAGGGUUUAAAUUUUUGUCAUUGCAAGUCUUCAUUAAAGUACUAAUACAGUUAACUAAGGUUGUGUAUUUUGAAUGUGAUGAUUUUAAUUUGAAAUAAACUUUCCUCCCAAAUUUGUGAGUCAUGUGGUCAGUUAUUUGAAUCUGACAUUAUUAACCCAUUGGUCGCAGUUUUAAUAAAAUAUAUUUGCAAAAUAUAUUUGUCUGACACGGUGCCAUUCGCGUCUGUGACCGACUCUACCUUGGCAGAGUUGGUCGUAGACGUGGGUUAUGGUGCCAGUGUUUACAGGAACUUCUUAGACUGAAUUUUUACAGCUCUGCUGCUGGAUGGACUUACAUGGGCUAAGAGGGUGCAGGCCUGGGCCAUCUGAUGUUUGCUGAAGUCAGAGGGAUGGUGUGGCUAUGUUGUCAAAUCAAUGACGGGGUCUAACACCACAGAAAUUCCUCAUUUUCCUGAAUAACAAUCCAAUUCAAGAAGAUGCAACCAAGGAGGAUCUUAGGAAAGACAGGAUGGCAGCAACAAAGAGAAGAAAUCUCAUGGAGAGGGAAAGGAAGCUCAUAGAAAGGGAGACCAAGUGAAAUAUUUACAACAUAUAUAUAAGGAGGUACAAGAUUGGUUACAGUUGUUACAGCCUUCUCAACAUCGGACAUCUUCUUUAAAACUUCAGACUCUUCUGUAUAACCUGAGUCAUUCCCAUUUUCAUAACUGAAAACAUGUUUUAUCCUAGUCUCGGUGGUAAUAUUGCUCCUUACACUGGCAUUUAAAUAUUGAAGGGAUUUCUUUUCAUCUUAAAGAUAUGCAUGCAGUUUUGUAAACAGGUCAAGAGUAUUGACAUUUUUUGCUAUUCUGACCCAUUCACAUUUCUGAGUUGGAGUUAUGAAUUUCUCUUUUUGGCUUGUCAUAUUUACAGUCUUUAGUUCUGAAGAUAGAGCCAAUUGAUCAAGGUAAAGAAAACUCACCUUCUACUAAAGGUUUCAUUGUC
rnacentral:lncRNA from 1 species